UGGUUAAAACUAUUUAGCUGCCAUGCUUUGCCUCUGUGAAGACCAGAGCACAAACUACUUGCUAUCAGAACUCUUCUUGCCCCUCUCACCCUGCUAGCUACUUUUAGCUCAUUCUCUUCCUUGUUAUUCUCUCUGGUUGUAGUUCGCCCCUCCGACAGUUUGUGUGGAGAAGCUGUGCCAGAGGCUUCCUAGCCCAGCAACCUCCAGCAGCUGCAGCACGGUGGCCGGGCAUGCUGAGCGGACGUGGUCUGCUGCCCUCUGGGGCGCACGGGUGACACGUUUUCAGAAGGAUGUCAGAGAAGUGACAGAGGGCCCACCGGUGUGUGCAGUUUUGUCCCAGGAGGAAUGAACUGUACAGCUGAUGAAACACACACCGUCUCGGUUUUACAACCAGUUUCCAACUUAGUUAAUUCUUCAAGAUAGGAACAGAAGUGUUUGCUCCAACCGAUGCUGCUGAGCAGCCGCAGGGGCUGUUUUACCUGACCGCACUGGUGUUCUGCUCAUAAAUCCUCCAGCCGCUCGGGAUUGCUCAGGUUUGGGGCACUCAAUAAAAUUAGGCUGUGCCGUGGGACUUCAUAACCUCAGCGUGUAGUUCUGGGAGUGCUUCACUUCUACGCAGCUCCUGUUGAUCUGCACAACCCCUCUCCUGUGCUUGUCCCUGGAAGUUUUCUGUGAACGGCGUGAGCACGUAACAAAGCGGGGGUGUAAUCUCUGUCACCGGAGCCAACCUGGGCUAGACAGAGCACUGGGAGCCCUGGGCAUUCUCUUACAGUUUGAAUGCAGGUGGUGAUUGUAUCAGCAGGUGAGGGCGUUGGGCCAGCCAGUUGCCGUGUUGGUCCAUCG